rnacentral:rRNA from 1 species
AACAGGAUUAGAUACCCUGGUAGUCCACGCCGUAAACGAUGUCGACUUGGAGGUUGUUCCCUUGAGGAGUGGCUUCCGGAGCUAACGCGUUAAGUCGACCGCCUGGGGAGUACGGCCGCAAGGUUAAAACUCAAAUGAAUUGACGGGGGCCCGCACAAGCGGUGGAGCAUGUGGUUUAAUUCGAUGCAACGCGAAGAACCUUACCUACUCUUGACAUCCAGAGAACUUAGCAGAGAUGCUUUGGUGCCUUCGGGAACUCUGAGACAGGUGCUGCAUGGCUGUCGUCAGCUCGUGUUGUGAAAUGUUGGGUUAAGUCCCGCAACGAGCGCAACCCUUAUCCUUUGUUGCCAGCGAUUCGGUCGGGAACUCAAAGGAGACUGCCGGUGAUAAACCGGAGGAAGGUGGGGAUGACGUCAAGUCAUCAUGGCCCUUACGAGUAGGGCUACACACGUGCUACAAUGGCGCAUACAAAGAGAAGCGACCUCGCGAGAGCAAGCGGACCUCAUAAAGUGCGUCGUAGUCCGGAUCGGAGUCUGCAACUCGACUCCGUGAAGUCGGAAUCGCUAGUAAUCGUGGAUCAGAAUGCCACGGUGAAUACGUUCCCGGGCCUUGUACACACCGCCCGUCACACCAUGGGAGUGGGUUGCAAAAGAAGUAGGUAGCUUAACCUUCGGGAGGGCGCUUACCACUUUGUGAUUCAUGACUGGGGUGAAGUCGUAACAAGGUAACCGUAGGGGAACCUGCGGCUGGAUCACCUCCUU